rnacentral:rRNA from 1 species
UACGGGGGGGGUAAGCGUUGUUCGGAAUUACUGGGCGUAAAGGGCUCGUAGGCGGCCAACUAAGUCAGACGUGAAAUCCCUCAGCUUAACUGGGGAACUGCGUCUGAUACUGGAUGGCUUGGAUCCGGAAGAGGGAUGCGGAAUUCCAGGUGUAGCGGUGAAAUGCGUAGAUAUCUGGAGGAACAUCGGUGGCGAAGGCGGCAUCCUGGACCGGUAUUGACGCUGAGGCGCGAAAGCUAGGGGAGCAAACGGG